CUGGGCAUCAACAUUUAGUUAACCCUUUAUCAAUCUUGUCUGAUCUUGGAAAAUAAGUAGGGUCAGGAUUAUAAGUACUUGGAUGGGAGAUUACCUGGAAAGUGCAGGUACAGUAGUCUAGA
rnacentral:rRNA from 1 species